rnacentral:rRNA from 1 species
GACGAACGCUGGCGGCGUGCUUAACACAUGCAAGUCGAACGGUUAAGCGCCUUCCUUUUUGGUGGGUGUGGAUGAGUGGCGAACGGGUGAGUAACACGUGAGUAACCUGCCCCCUUCUUCUGGAUAACCGCAUGAAAGUGUGGCUAAUACGGGAUAUUCUGGGUCUGUCGCAUGAUGGGUCUGGGAAAGAUAUUGUUUCGGUGGGGGAUGGGCUCGCGGCCUAUCAGCUUGUUGGUGGGGUGAUGGCCUACCAAGGCGGUGACGGGUAGCCGGCCUGAGAGGGUGGACGGUCACACUGGGACUGAGACACGGCCCAGACUCCUACGGGAGGCAGCAGUGGGGAAUAUUGCACAAUGGGCGCAAGCCUGAUGCAGCGACGCCGCGUGAGGGAUGGAGGCCUUCGGGUUGUGAACCUCUUUCGCCAGUGAAGCAGGCCUGCCUCGUUUGUGGGUGGGUUGACGGUAGCUGGAUAAGAAGCGCCGGCUAACUACGUG